GAUAAUGCACUGGUCCUGCCACUUUUGCCUCAGUUGCAAGGUGAACUGACAAAUGAACCAUUACUGUGAAGAAAGAUGGCGGAAAUAUCUGUUCCAAUUUGCAUAACGUUAUCGAUAUGUUCUUUUCCAUUUGAUUUAAAUGAUCGAUAUUCAGAGUAUUGGAACACAAAUCAUGGAAGUAGUUGCAUAAUUCUACUAUCGAAGAACAAACAUCUUUGGAACAUGAAUUUCUCAAUGCAAUAGGCAAUAAUUGUUGCAUUAGCAUAUGACAAUCAUGACUUUUAAGUUGCAUAAGCUUCUUGUCUUU
rnacentral:lncRNA from 1 species